CUCAGUAGGCAAGGCUUAACGUUCAGCGCCGGAAGAACUUUCACCUUUUACCUUUCACCUUUCCCCAAAAACCCAAAGAAAAGCAACCUUUUUUUCAGCUGCGUUCAAUUUUUUUAUUUGGUUAUGUUCUGAUCCUAAAACGUAGUUUAAUAGAUUUCUCGGCGCGCCAGGCCAGCAACAUUGUGGUCCAAAAAAACAGCCGUCUGCAUUAAUCAGACCCCAGAUAUUUGACCAAAUUAUAGGCUCGUUCAAAGUUCGAGGACUCAGACCCGCAGAUUGAUGGCUGAAGACGCAGUUUUAAGUCGGAGCUAAGCUCAUAAUUCAGCUCUUUAAGAAGUUGUUACUUGAAGCAUUUAUUCUUACACCGCAGGCGCGAUGCAAACGCCCUGAUAGCCAACAGAAAAAACGAAGAAUGGCGAACAAGAAAACCCCAAAAAUAAGAAAUAAAAGGACGCUUUUCGGAAUAUAGAAUCUGAGUAAGGGUAUCAAACAGAACAAGGCAAUCAAAACAGCACAACUUUGCAAGCGUCGUUCAGCGUUACCGAUUUAUUUGAAUUUCAAUAAGCCCCAACGUUUUUGGAGUUCAUUAUCCUGUUAUGUCGGCAUUUUUGGUCUUUCAUCUCGCGCAUGCAACGAAUUUGAACUGGGGCGUUAUUAAUUAGCGUUAUGAAUUAUUGAUUCACAACCCUCGGGAGGAAAUCGCCCACACCGCAGCUAUCCGACAAGAUAUGCUUCAGCUGAUAUCUUUAUUUUUCGGAGAGGAUGCAUAAAUCGAAACCAAACCCGCAACGUUCAUCAUCUGGGGAGCCGAAAGGGGAGAAAUAUGUUCCAAUUAGCGAAGCCAAAUGUGACAGGCCAUCCACCCAGAAGAAGAAAUCAAGGCAGCGACUUGGUUUCACAGGACUCGCGGCUCUGACAGGCAAAAGUUAUUUGAGUUGUCAUAUUAGGCUGUGAUAAAUGUAGUUACAUACCAAAUGUGAUAACUCUGCCCUGGCUUUGGAUUCCCCGGACUCUGGAUUAGGUAGGCGCCUAGUUUCCCUUUCCCUUUCCCUUUCCCUUGAUGAUGAUCCGCAAACUGUCUGAGGCUGAGUUUGUGCGCCUACAGCCUGAUCAUUGAAAACGCAUUUAUGGUACCAGGGAAAUUCCUUGAGCCUUUUUGCGCUAGUUUAGAGAGCCGUGGCCCUGACUUCUUCCUCGCUGACCUGUUAUACCGGGGCACCUAAAAUUUCACCUGCCGGGUGAAAAGGGGAUUACCUGAUCGUAAAAGAGGUACAAUAAGUGCGCGCGUGCCUGGACAAUUGGUAAAUCGAGUACGAGUCCAAUUACUUAUCACCCCACCCCAUUUUUGUACCUUUUCCCGACUUUGGUUUAGAUUUUGCAGGCUUAUUUGAAAAAUUCCAGGAUCAAUAUAAUAAUUUUUACAACACUUCACCGCCUUUCUCCUUUUUCUUAAGGGGAUCCAGCAAUGCCGAAAUAUUUUAUUUUUAGUUUAUUUGCUUUUGUUGCUGAUGUUAGUUGUUUUCACUUGACUACUUUCUGUUUGUCAUAGUCCCAUAAUAAGUAUAACCACCUUCUAAGCAAUUCCUCCCUUCCAUACCAUUCUACAAGUAUUUUAUUAUUUAUGCUGCGACCCCCAGCGUCGUCUUGUGAAUCCCAAUUAAGUCCUUAAAUCGUCGAUAAUCCCAGAAAUAGUCUGGAAAUAAUCCCAUUAGAGCGUGCUGCAUAAACACUAACAAAUGUUCCACUGGGCGGUUCUUUCUCUCGCAUAAGACAAGUAGUUCCCAAAACCUAAUUGCCAACACCACUUGAAAGGAUUAGAGCACAAAUUCACACCUAACCAUGACAACGCUGACACUCCAACAUGUGGCCAACUAUGUGGAACUCUCCCUUCAACGCCACUCGAAAAAAACAAUUUGCACUCAGAUCUCGUAGUGAAAUUCCGCAACACGUAGCGCGAAUCGUCUGAGACUUUUUAUGGAUUAUAUGAAAUUUGCCAUUAACAAAUUUCAAACAAUUAGCAUGAUACACAGAAAAAAUACAAUAUUUUUUGCGCUUUUCAAAUAUCAACAAGAAUAUUAGCAGUUACAUAGCUAUUGAGAGUGCAAGGUAGAAAUAUCAAAAUUGAUUAACAAAUCUUGUAUAACAAAAAAAUACGAAUCUACUAUACCCUGUGCUCUACGCGUAACGGGUAUAAAAAUUCCAUUUCUCUUAACUCAGCUUCAUUGAGCUGUUUUAUUUGCAUAAAAUGCAAAAGGGUACAAAACAAAGGUGGAGUGGAUUCUGCAAUGGAGGUUUUCAGUUGCCCAAAAA